AGCGAACACUGGCGGCAGGCCUAACACAUGCAAGUCGAACGGACCCUUCGGGGUUAGUGGCGGACGGGUGAGUAACACGUGGGAACGUGCCUUUAGGUUCGGAAUAGCUCCUGGAAACGGGUGGUAAUGCCGAAUGUGCCCUUCGGGGGAAGGAUUUAUCGCCUUUAGAGCGGCCCGCGUCUGAUUAACUAGUUGGUGAGGUAAUGGCUCACCAAGGCGACGAUCAGUAGCUGGUCUGAGAGGAUGACCAGCCACAUUGGGACUGAGACACGGCCCAAACUCCUACGGGAGGCAGCAGUGGGGAAUCUUGCGCAAUGGGCGAAAGCCUGACGCAGCCAUGCCGCGUGGAUGAUGAAGGUCUUAGGAUUGUAAAAUCCUUUCACCGGUGAAGAUAAUGACUGUAGCCGGAGAAGAAGCCCCGGCUAACUUCGUGCCAGCAGCCGCGGUAACAC
rnacentral:rRNA from 1 species